rnacentral:tRNA from 1 species
GCUGAAUUAGCUCAGUUGGUAGAGCACAUUCUUGGUAAGAAUGAGGCCCCGAGUUCGAUCCUCGGAUUCAGCUCCA